GCAAAACAAAGUCAGGCAGCAUUGCUGACAACAGUACGUCCUUCCCGAUGUGCGUAACACAUUCUAUGUAUGUUUUCAACAGAAGGGUAUUGGAAUGUCACCACCCACCCCGAGAGUUUCCAGUGCACCUGAUCCCACAGUCACCAAUGCAGAUGUAAGGAAAGUGCUGAAAGAGUGGUAAUCAAACUCGGAAAUUCAAGAUUCUACAGGUGCUGGAAAUCUGGAGCAACACAGAAAAUGCUGGAAGAACACAGCAAGUCAGGCAGCAUCUACACUUGCUGACCACUUUAUUAGGUGCACCGCUUGGAGAUUGUUUGGUGGUUGCGGCGCUCUGCAGUCUCCCAGGUGAUUCCAGGAGUCAGAAGCAACGUGCGAGAACCUCGAGGCAAGAAGGUUGCGAGCUGAUGGUCAAAUCCAUUUCGCUGAUUAAAGCUUCCGUUGUUUGCCAACUAAAGUGUCGAGGGAGAUUGAAACGCCGGCUGCCUGCCUUUUUAUCGCUGGGGGUUCACUCUCCUGCCAAAGAGGGAGACUGCCUUUUUAUUGCUGGUGAGAUCACUUUGCCAUGGAGAGGGGAGAAUAUUGCCCAAGUUUUUUUUGCAUUUUGGAUGUGGACUUGCACUUUUUUCAGUCUUACGGUUUUGUUUUUGUUUUCUAAGUUUUUCACCCAAUCUUUCUCGUUUUUUUUGUGUGUGUGCAUGGGAGGGGGAUUUGGGGGUCAAUGUGCCUGUCGCAUUUUUUUGUUUGUUUUUUUUGUGCAGGGAA